UUGAAUAAACUUGGUUAGGUUGUUGCUGGCUCUUAGGAGCAUGUGCACGCCGACUCCAUUUUUAACCACCUGUGCACCUUGCGUAGAUCUGAUACUCUCGAGGAAACUCGGUUUGAGAAUUGCUGUGCAACAAAAGGCCAGCUCUUCUUGUAUUCAGGUCUAUGUUUCUACAUACCCCACAUGAAUGUAUUUUGAAUGUCGUCAUUGGCCUUGUGCCUUUAAAAACAAAUA
rnacentral:misc_RNA from 1 species